CACACACACACACACAUACAUACAUACAUACAUACAUGCAGGGUGCAAUAGGAGGCAAGAGUGAGCAGUGGACAUCACAGGGUAAAAUGCCAUCCUCACUGCCAUCCUCCUUAUAACUCCUGCAGGACCCCCUAAUGGCAUGCUGGUGGCACCAGGACAGGGCUGGAGGUCUGUGUCCAGGGGGAGCACUGUGAAUGGGCACUGAGCUGCACUGUCUGUGCUUAUUGUCUGAGAGCACAAAUUGAAGAUGAAAACGGUAAGAGAGGUCAUCUGUGAUUCUAAAUUCUAAAUUCUAAAAAAAAAAAAAAAAAUUCUAAAAUUCACCUUUAAAAAUUCCUCUUAUUGUCUGAAGUUGCUGUGCAUGGACUGUUUUUUUUUUUUUUUCUCAUUUUAUGCCUAUUUGCCAGGGUGUGAAUAGAUGGUAAUUGCUGAAGAUUACUGUUGAAGUGAAGAGCAUGCCAUUACCUUUUGUAUAAAUGUAUCUUUUUUAUUUGUAUCAUCAUUAUUAUUUUUUUUUUUUUAUCAGACAUUUCAUUCGCAUUGUGCUAUUCUGCAAUGAUCUGUAAAGUGUGUGCAGUUAAUGCUCUAGCUAGUCAGUGGGAUAGCAGCCAGGACUGCAGUUUGCAAGGAUGAUAUUGAUGUGACCAAGGAAUAUCAGCGAAGCAGAGCAGACAGACAAUUGCAGUGCUGGGUGAUGUUAGCUAAUAGAAACACCCUGAAAGUGAUACAGUAAGAAAAGUAUGUUUCCCAGAGAGCUUGCAAUCUAAUAUUGUAAUCAGGGCAAAACUAAGAACCAGACUAUAAUUAUUAUAACUUGGUCAUUUAUUGCUGCCCAAUUUACUGUUUUCUAAGAAACUUUAGAUGUAGCUCUUCAAAGUCUGCCGAAAGAAAACUCGGAUACAAACUAACACAAGCGAUAUCUGACCAUCCGGCUACUAACUUUGUCAAUCUCUGUAUUUUAUUUGUACUCAGUAAUUGUAGAAAAAUCUGCAGUCUUUCAGGAGUGAAGAAACUAGCAUUUAUGCUCCAUGACAAAAAAAAAAAAAAGUCUGCUUAUGAAGUCAGACAAGUGCAUAGUUUCUGUCUGGGCUCAAAGGGGCAGCAGUAAUGUGUCCAUUCAGUCUGAUUCUGUAGGAUAUGUUAAGCUCUUAAUAGGCUAAUCAAAGAGAUGGAAGCGUGUGGUUUUGAUUUCUUUCUGGCCAUUAGGGAAUUGCUAGACUUAACACCAGAGAGUCUUAUAUUUGUGUGUGUAUUUAGUGGUGGGAUAGCACACAUUUCAUACAGUUCAUACUGUCUGGCAGUGGCUAGUUGAAUUGAAGAAUGUAUACAGAAAGGUUAUGUGAGGUUGGUCCCCCCCACCCCCACCCUCUUCUAUUAAACUAAAACCUGCUACUUGUGUGCCAGAGGACCCACCAGCCAAUAACCUGAUGGUUUCAUGCAGAGCAUAAUGAUAAAGGAUAAAUGGUGAAGGAUAGGAUACUGUCUGGUUGGGGGGUCUUAUGUCUGCAAAUAUUUGGUGUCAUUGUGUCAAUAUUUUGACAUUAGCUUCCACACCCCCUAGUGGCUAUAUCCAUUCACAUUCAUUUACCAUAUGACUGCAUACCUUGUUACAGUGCUGAAUGUUUUACCUGUCCAUAUGUUCAUAUCCAGUGCAUUAUUAUUACCUGAUAUGUCCAUAUGUUCAUAUCCAGUGCAUUAUUAUUAACUGAUGUGUCCAUGUGUUCAUAUCCAGUGCAUUAUUAUUACCUGAUAUGUUCAUAUUUCCAAAUCCAGUGCAUUAUUAUUACUACCUGAUAUGUCCACGUGUUCAUACCCAGUGUAUUAUUAUUGCCUAAUAUGUCCCUGUGUUAGUAUCCAAUGUAUUAUUAUUACUACCUGAUAUGUCCAUGUGUUCAUACCCAGUGUAUUAUUAUUACCUAUGUCCAUAUGUUAGCAUCCAGUGUAUUAUUAUUACUACCUGAUAUGUCCCUGUGUUAGUAUCCAGUGUGUUAUUAUUACCUGAUCUGUCACAGUGUUGGUAUCCAGUGCAUUAUAAUUACCUGAUCUGUCACUGUGUUAGUAUCUAGUGCAUUAUUAUUACCUGAUCUAAGUCUGUGUUAGUAUCCAGUAUAUUCCUAUUACCUGAUAUGUCCCUGUUUUGGUAUCCAGUGUAUUAUUAUUACUACCUGGUAUGUCCAUGUGUUGGUAUCCAGUGCAUUAUUAUUACCUGAUCUGAGUCUGUGUUAGCAUCCAGUGCAUUAUUAUUAUCUGUGUCUGUGUUAGUAUCCAGUGCAUUAGUAUUACCUGAUCUGUGUCUGUGUUAGUGUCCAGUGCAUUAUUAUGACCCGAUCUGUGUCUGUGUUAGUAUCCAGUGCAUUAGUAUAACCUGAUCUGUGUCUGUGUUAGUGUCCAGUGCAUUAGUAUAACCUGAUCUGUGUCUGUGUUAGUGUCCAGUGCAUUAUUAUGACCCGAUCUGUGUCUCUGUUAGUAUCCAGUGCAUUAGUAUGACCUGAUCUGUGUCUCUGUUAGUGUCCAGUGCAUUAGUAUAACCUGAUCUGUGUGUGUGUUAGUGUCCAGUGCAUUAUUAUGACCCGAUCUGUGUCUCUGUUAGUAUCCAGUCAGUGCAUUAGUACGACCUGAUUGUGUCUCUGUUAGUGUCCAGUGAUUACUACCUGAUCUGUCUGUGAUAGUAUCCAGUGUAUUAUUAUUACCUGAUCUAAGUCUGUGUUGGUGUCCAGUGCUCUAUUAUUACCUGAUAUGUGUCUGUGUUAGUGUCCAGUGCAUUAUUAUUAUUAUUAUAAUCAUCAUCAUUAUCUGUGCUGUCCCCAUGUUGGUGUUUCCCAGCUAUGCAAUGCAUUUUAUUAUUAUUAUUAUUAUUAUUAAUUAUUAUUAUACUCAUUAUCUGUGCUGUCCCUAUGUUGGUGGUUCCCAGCUGUGCAGUGUAUUGGUUUAUUAUUAUCAUUAUCUGUGCUGUCCCUAAGUCGGUGUCUCCCAGCCAUGCAGUGCAUUAGUUGAUUGCUAUGAUAUUAGCUGCCGGUGUGUAAGGCAGUUUGGGUGAGUGCCAGCUGUCUGGGUCACACGCGUUCUAUCCAAAUAGAUUUAGCUCUGCUGAUGGAUGUGAGUGAAAUGACACCCCUCCACCACCACUACCACCUCCAUCACACCACAUGCUGCUUUCAACUGCAGCCUUCAGCAUGCUCAGCCAGCUUUUUAAUAUAGCUAAUACAUUAGGCAAGGCGGAUGAGCAUGGUGGGGGUUGUGAUCCACAGUAAAGCUACAUAGAUUUGCUUGUUUCUGUUACUAGGCUGUACUAGUUCCAUGGCAAAAAGAGCCUGAUAGGAGUUGUAGUUUGCCAUUGAUGGAGUGAGAAUAGCAUUUCACUGUUGGCUUAGCAUAAUAGGACUUAAUGGUCCACGAUUGAUAAAGCGACAGGGGAUGCAUAUACUGACUUAAAAUCGGUGUUCGCCUGAUGGGAGUUGUAGUCCAAAGUUUCCAAUGUGAAAAAUAAAGCCUAUUACUGUACUAGUAUUAAAACCGAGUAUAAUAGGAAUGCUAGUCCACAGCUGCUCGAGUGGAUGAUGAUGAUUCUAUUGUAGUACUGAUUGCACAGUGGGGUGGGAGUGGCAGUCCAUAUCUGCUGACUUGCACAAGGGAAAAAAACGAACCAAGAAAACUGUUCAUCAUAUUGCUUAGUACAGAGAAUGCUAUUAGUAUUACAAGAAAUACAAAGUAAUCUGCUCCACAUGGCUGCCAGUGCAAAGCCAAUUGAUGCACCUAAAAUGAAUAUGUAGGCUAUGGACUGGGCAUUGAACCAUACGAGAUCCUGUGAUGGGUUUAACCUUUUAAAUGCAGUAAGUGUGUGUUUAUGCAUUGUAAUGUUGUAGCGCUCACAGAGUUAAGGCAGUAUGCAUGCAUCCAAUUAUUUGUAAUACAGAGAAUCACCAUGAACCACGGCCAAGUAGAAAAAAUAUAUAGAAAUACACAUAUUUAAAAUGUAAAAAAACAUGUGUAGGAAGAAAAUAAAAACUUCUUAGGGUUAAACAAAAAACAAACAAAAACUAAUUAAAUUUUUUUUAAUAUUAUAUUAAAAUAGUGAAUAUUCAUAGAAACUGAAAUCUCCAUUUUGUGUGCUUUUUUGAUUUAAUAACUAUCAGAGGUAAAAAAGGGAUUGAAUAAUAAAAAAAAAGUAUCUGGCCUAUUCCUAUUCUUUUUGAGUGACCCAUGUGAUGGUGAACUGUUCUGUGCUUGUGUGUCUGCUGAUAAUAUGGCCUUAGAUUGUUUCUCUUUGAGUGUCCUGUGGAGAAAUGUCUUGCAUGCUAAUCCCUCUCAUGUUUAAUGCAUUUUACUGAAGGUACCCAAGUUCUGUCCUCAUUUCUUCUAGACAAGCAGAUUCAUUAUGUGUGGAGAUGCUUCCAAUGGGACACUCAUUAGACUUCCUGUAAGCUUUAUUGCACCAGACUUUCCAGACCUCACAGAUUCCCUUUAAAAGGACACCCAUGAGAAUACUAAGUCUGUAUCACUAUAUUAUGUGUGUAAAUACUCCUAAAAUGUUUCUGAUAUUCUACUGAUUAGACCCUCAAGCAUUUACACCAGGCACAGAGCUCCUGUGCAGGUACUUAAGUUUAUAUUUUAUUAUUCCUAGAAGGGAGGUAUAUAAUCCAUUGCUACUUAAAGCAGUAUCGCUUUUCCAUGUUCAAGUUACCUGUAUAUUUGAUUUGUCUUAAUUUAUUGGUACUCCUUAUGUUCGCCCCCUUUCUUGUCUCCCUGGUAACCCUUUGUAGGCUUUUUCCCUGAGUCUAUCUAGUAACCUCUGAUCCAGAGGAAAUGCUAACUUCAAUGAGGUGAGAAAACGCAGAGGGAAAUUAUAAAGAAUUAAAAAAAAAACACGUAAUAUUGUAGAUGUGCCUAUGGAACUUGUUAACUAUUUCUCAAUCCUGAGUAAACGUUAGACACUACGCAAGGCCUUAGCAAGUUAAAAAUCCAAUGCCAUGCCAGAGUGGUGGGAUUGUUUUGUUUUUGUUUUUUUUAACAAGCCAGUGUCCCUUAGAUUAUCCAAACAUAAUUUUUAGUAAUCAAGUGCUUAAAGGGACACUCCACUGUCCAAAUACAAAAUCAAUUAAAAUCAAUGUUUAGUAGAAAUACCCCAAAUGAAAACGUGCAUGCAUUUAAUUAUGCAUUUUUUCAUGGGGUAAAUCUAAACACAGCGUGCAAAACUUGCAGUUCUAUUUUUCUGCUGCCUUUGCAAGCCCUCCCCUUCUAACCCCACCCAGACUUUCUGUGGCUGUCCAAUCACAGACUUAACCAAUGCAGCUGAAAAAGUUUUUGCAAAACAAUUGCUCUGAGCAAUUGCUGUCUUUUGAGAUUAGCUGCACUGAGCUAACGAAACCAGGAAGUAACAGGACCUGUUUUCUGAUUGACAGCCAAGGGGGUGUAACCAGGUUCAUUUAUAAAAGUGUCGACUUCUACUGAAAUCUGAACUUUUUGCAAAAUGAAAAAAAGAGGACACACUCUUCACACAUAAAGCUUGUUAGCAAGCUAAAGUGCUUUAGGGUCUGGAGUAUCCCUUUAAGACUCUACUUUAACACCUGGACUAUGUAUAAGUAAGAGAGGCACGUGGCUCGUGAAGGAAGACUCUUGUUGAGGGCGCCACAGUGCUUUAAAACCAUUUCAUUACUUAAACUUCAUAUUUCCAGCAUUGGACUUUUACCCCAUAACUAUCACAAAUUUUGUCAAGAGAGUUCCAAUUCCAACAAAACCCAGCUGUCAUGUGCAGCUGUGGCAUCAUGCUUUUUCUCCCAACACCUUAUCUAUCAUCCCUUGUGCUUCAAGUUGACAGGACCUGACAGUUUUACCAAACAGUGUUUGCCUAUAUGUUUAUUUUUAAUUAAAAGAACCUUGUUUUGACAUUCUCUGCCAGUUUUGGGAGGCAUUUGGGUUAAUAUAUUAAAAGAGCUUAUUAACUUAAACGCAAAGUAUAACAGUGAUCAUAGAUGUGUCUUAUUGUAAAAAACAUACAAAAAAAAAAGACUAAAUUUUUUUCAUAAAUACAUACCUUUUUCCAAGACACAACAGCUUGCUACCCCCAUUACUUAUGCAACUGUAUAUGUUAGAUUUUUAUUGUGCUGCCAGGAAGUGUAGUUGACACUCCUGAAUAUUUUCCAUUAGCAAAACCAGAUGUGAGGUCCGUUAGGGGGUGUGUCUAAAAAAAUAAAAAUGUCAAAAAUGGCAGCCAUCUGCCCUGGAAUUCAUAAUGAUCUGGUUUGAAUUGUUGGUCAGUUUCAAGACAAGUUGUGAAAAAAAGGACUAUUAAAAUUGAAGUGCCCCCUGGAAAAAGAAAGAUUUAAAAAAUAUUUUCAAACAAAACAGUUAAGCGGUUAAAUGGACUCUUCAAGCACCAUAGCCUUUUUAUUAAGCAAUUUAACUUUUUCUGGUCAACUUGUAACUCCUAGCCCCCAAAGCCCAACCAUCAACUUUAAAUAUCAUAAUGAGAAAAUUAAAUUUUAUCAUUACCCUUCAAAAUGUUUUUAAAGUGUAAGAACACAGGGAGGCUGUGACAGUUUGGCAAUGGUAAUAAAAUUAGCAGUUAUUUGGCAGCACAGAAAGAACUGUGGCUGUUAAUUCUAACUUACUCAUCCUAUAUUCCAGGAGUCAACAUUUCAUGUCCUCUGCUACUAGCCAGGCCUAAAUAUUACUCGCCACUGCAAGCCUGGAGGGUGUAGGGCACAGGCACCAGAGGUGAAUUGAUACUUGUUAGUGGAAAAUGAAUGUUAUUUGAUCUGCUCUGUGUCAUUGCAUUCAAAAACAGAACACUGCCUGACCACAUGCAUUACUUCAUAGCACUUUGACCUCUACAAUAAGCCAUAGCAAUAUGGUACUUGUCAUGUCCCUUUAGGAUAUGUUUUGUCUUUUAGAUCACAUUUUCAGUCUCUUGUUGAGGAGUUAAUAUUUUUCUGUAUGCUCUUAACUUUCUUUACCUGAUUGGCUGCUCGUUUUCCAUCUCUUAGAAUGUAUUAAAAUAUCUUUUAGAACCUAUGUAGAAGACAGGAAAUAAGGGUUGGUUUGGACGAGUGUCCAACAUGCCCAUAGCAUAACAAGUUUAACAGUAGGAAGGCUGACACCUGUUAUUAAAAAAUAUUUCAAAAACUGAUAUAGAAUUAAAAUAAAUGUUAACGCCACAUAUAGAUUGUUUUUCUACUCUAAUGAUUUGUGGUAAAGUUCAGUGCACGUGAUAAGACCAUUUUAGUAUAUAUGCAAUUGUUCUUAUAACCGAGGGUUUUUAUUUUUGUUUUAGCGACUUUUCUCUGUUUUGAAAAUUGUCAUAUUCCUUCCAUUUUUCAUGCAUCUCUUUGUUUAGUAAUAUUCAAUUGCACGGAUUAACAUGGAUAGUAAGUCAAUGCACUUGCAUAACCUUAAUGUGUUUUAUUUUAUUUCAAUUCUAAGCAAAUCCAAGAAAAUUGUUAUGUACACUUAGGCUAUCAGUCGAGCAUAUACUGUAACAGUGACAUUUAAAGGGUUUCUUCAAGUUUUUUCUUCUUUAAUCUCUGAAUAAUGCCCUGUUGGCAUUAUUCAUCAGCCCCCUACACCCCUCCAGAAAAAGAAUGUUUAGAAAGUGUUCUAAACAAAGUUUUUACUUAACUUUAUCCAGCGUUGACUAAGCUGCUUGGCGUGCCUUUUCUAUCGUCACGGGAUCCACACCAAGUUUCAUUUUACCAUCUCAGAGCACAGGUACCCACUCUGAGUUGGCAAAGGGAAGGUGAGAGGGAAUGGCGUGAGGAUGGAGGCUGUGUCAGUAUAAAGUAUAGGAUGGUACAGGUAGUGGUAGGGCUACAAUUAAGUAGGGUGGAAGGGAGGGGAAGCAGUCUAACUCUUGCAAGUGCCCCUCUGCUUGCAAGGGGAAGAUUUUUACAAUUUUCCCCUUGCAAGCAGAAAAUUGCAAAAAUUGCCCAUGGGCCCCCCCAUACGUCUACCCUCUGCCACCCCCCCAUAUGUCUACCCGCCCCCUCCCUUACGUUCCCUACUCAUACAUGCAGACAAACAGACAUGCAGACACAUAUACAGAUACACAUAUAUACAAACACACACACACACAGACAGAGACACACAUACAGACACACACAUACAGACACACAUACAGACAUACACUCACUCAUACAUACAGAACACAUACAUACAGACAUACACACAAACACACAUAUACAUACAUACAUAGACACAUACACACACACACACAUAUUAUUAUUACAUACAGACACACACAUACAGACACACACAUACAGACACACAUACUGACAUACACUCACUCAUACAUACAGAUCACAGACACACACACACACACACACAGAAACAUUCAUACAGAUGCAUAUUCAUACAGACACAUACACAAACACACGCAUAUACAAAAUAAUCACCAUCCUGUUUCCUACCUUUUAGAUGCAGUAGAGUGACUUCCUUGGGGUCCAGUGGUGGCUCAGCCUGCUGGGAGUCAGAGUUCCCACUCUGACUCCCUCUUCUCCUUCCUCCUCCUGCGUGGCUCCUGGUGUAAGCUGGGAGGAGUGAUUGGGGCAGUCACUUCCUCCCAGCUCUGACAUCAUCAGAGGGGGCCCGGUCGCACUGUUAAUGCACCGCAACGCUGACCGGGCCCCUGGAAAUUCAUUGCCAUUGGGUGUCCCUAACAGCAUGGGCCACCCGAUGGGCCCCUUCAAUGCGGCCCUGGCGGGUUAUACCAUGUGGGCCGUGGCCGCGGUACUUAGCAGACGGGCACCAUGGUCGCAGGGGUCCGCAGGGAGUGAUGGGCCCGCGGUAGUUCCGCCACUGCUCCCAGCACACAAUUAACAAUAUCUAUGUAUAUGCAGUGUUUCAAGCUGAAAUACUGCAUAUGCAUACUGCUACCACAAUGACUACUUCAAAUCACUGAUGUUGUCAUGGUGGUUAGAGUAACACUUUAACAUGGAAUCUUUCUGAAUUUGAAAACUUGUGUGACUAGGUAGCGUAGAUCUCUUAUUUUAAUUGCACUAAUAGUCUGUGUCUUUUCGUAAAGUGCGCAUGUAUCAACAUUUUGAUAGCUCGAAAUUUAAUCUAUCUGCCAAGCCCAAAGUUAUUAGCUAGACUACAAGAUUUCAAAGCAGAAUUAAUCACUAUAGGCAAUGUAUUUUCACUGUUCCAGAGGCAAAAGUUGGCUGGCUUUUUGCUGAUCUUGGGCUUCUGUACAACAAUUUUGUCAUAGAAUGCCAUUUUAUUAAUCUCCAGAUUGUCUUGUAUCAACUGAGUUCUCUCCUACACAUUUCCAUUUCAUAGUACAAGGUCCUACUGUUGACUGGGGCACCUCUGGCAGUGCAGAAAGUUGAACUAAUUUGUUGGAAAAAUGGAAUUCAGUGACGAGCCACAUUUAACGUCAAUGUGUACUGUGGUAUCAGCCAUUCUGCCCUCUAGAUUGUAUGGUUUUAUUUAAUUUUAAGCCUUUAUGAGUAUUUGUAUUACUUACAUCAAAAUUGGUACGACUUAUAUCAACAUUCAUCUGACUUUGAACUAAAACAAGUUAUGUGGCUACAGCCUAGUGUACUAUAAACAUUACAUGUCAUUUGUUGGUAGCUGUAAAAGUGCUUGUAUCCAAACACUAAAAAGGCUGUGUCAAAGAGUUAAAAAAUAGGUUUGAUAGUAUUGUACAGACGAGAAAUAUUCGUAUAAGAUAGAACUGUGUAUCUUCUCUCUCUCUUUUUUUUAAUUAUAGAGGCUCAAACCUUUGUUUUGUUGUAACCCAAAAAAUCUGGAGUCAAGCAAAAAUGAUAGAUCUGUGAAGAUAUAAAGCAUAAACUUAAAUUCUAUUAGGAUAUUAUUUUGGAUCAUGAUAUUAGGCCAUAGGUGUAAUUUAGACUCUCUUUGAUUACGGCUCUACAUAAAAUGUCUUGCAGUUAUGGAACGUUAUAUAUCCAAUAGAGAUACAAAAUUUUAAAAAACUUCAUGACACAUUACAGAUAAAUUUAUUUUAUCAUGAUAACAUAAUUUCCUUGUAUGUUUGGGUGUGUGAAAAAACGUCUGGAAUUAGUGACUCAAUUGACCACUAUCUCCCCGAGUAGAGAUUAUCAGAUGAUAGCAAAAAAUUGGAAAAUUCUUAUUUGGGGUGGGAUGUAGAAAUAGAUAGGGGCCAUUAAGCAGGAGAUAGCAGACAGAAAGGGAUGCUAAUAGAAUGAUAGAAGUAGAGCUAUCUGGAAAUGUGAAAAGUAGUCAGAACCACAGCAAUAACACUCAUUCCUGGCACGUAACAUGGGAGGAGUAAAGCAUACAUUCCGACUAAUUUGGCCAGGUUACUUAGAAUUCCAGAAAAUGUGUCCAACAAUUAGUCUAACAUGUGCUCUAGUUUUCCCCAGAUGUGCAUAGUGAUAGAAUGUUCAUUUGUAGCUUGAUGUUAGACAUAUAAUAUGGUCCAGUUGCUAUGCAACAUCAUCUUGAUUGAAUGGCAAUUUCGAGAUGUCUUGGUAUAAAAUCCUUAUUCAAAGUCACUUUGGCAAACAAGGAAAUCUUGCAAAUAACUCUAAUUGCCCAUUCCCAUAUUAAAGCACAAAAUAUGUGCUAAAUGAAUGCCCAUGCAAAUGACAAUAUUGUUUAUUAUUUGAGGCUUUAAGUGGCAUUACUGUGUAUUCAUUUUGAAACAAUUCUAUGCUCAUCAGUGUUUUGCACAUUUAAAAAAAAGAUUAGAUUUAUUGCAUAUUAAUUCAUUCAGUUUCAAAGGGAGACUUAAAAGGGCUUUCUGGCUCAAAAUUGCAUUUCAUUACUUUUAUUGUAAUUCAGAUUUUGCCGCGAAUACCCCAUUUGCAUUCGUGUUAUACUCUCUCGUUAAUGUCAGUGGUGUAAUUGCUUGGAUAGUUGGAAGGGAAGCUAAAGUUGUAUCAGGACAGCCUCUAAAUCGAGCAGGCAAAAUAGACUUCUCGGCCCAUUUUAUGACAUGUUAAAAAGUCUGACUUAAAGACAUUUACUUAAGCUGGGACUGCAUAAUAAAAAAGUUAAUUUUUAGCAUAUGUUCGUGAGAAUGAAUGUACCUUUAAAUAAAUUAUAUGGAGUGCAUGAUGAAAAACAAUCAUAACUGCGUUUCAUGUUACCACCAAAAAUCUGCAAGUUCAUAUUGGGUUUCCCACCAUUAAUUCUAUAUUAUAUGUGGAUCAAACCUGAUUCUGUUUACCAGCUUCGGCAUGUUCUCCAUGGAUUUUUUGACCUUGCAAGAUUCUCUUCUGCUUAUUUAUUUCCCCUAUAGUUUUUUUACUGUUGAAUUUAUACUUGAAAUCCCAUGGUUUUAACUUUUUCUGUCCAUCUAAAUAUUGCUUACAUUGUGUACAUCCUUAUUGCAUAACCUUCUCUGUUGACAAGUCAUAAAAUGUUUCUAUAUAAGUCGGUUUUAAACUGCAUUAGCAAAAAUAUUAAGAUGGUUUACUUUCAAGUAACUGCCCUUUAAUAGCUUUAGCUGUAAUUAUUUUAUGAUCCUAGGAUCAUUCAGUCUGGAGGUGUCCAUUUUUUAAUUCCAUGAAAAAUGUCAAACCUUCGGUGACAAACCUGUAUAAAGUGUGUCAUGUCACCAGCCAAUAAGAUGUUGGCAAUUUCUCUCUGAUGAUGCUACGUGUAUCCUACGCCAAGAUUCGACUAAAUAAAUUUUUUCCAUUUUUAUAUGAAAUAAUCUGGUCAACAGGUUUCGAAAUGACCAACACCAGAUAUAGUCCAUUUUUAGAGUACUAUAUGAUGGUGUAUUAACAAUUGUGAUGACAGUGGAACUUUUAAGGUGCUGAAAUUGCAAAUUAUAAUUUGCAUGGUUGAGUUAAAAAAACAGAAUACUUUUGGAACCUUAAAUCUUCCCCUGCACACAGGGAGCAUGUUAAUGGAUAAUUACUCAUCCCCUGACAAUGUGCAUCAUGUUUAGAAAAUAGUUAACAUAUAAUGUGUUCUUAACCAUUUUUCUUCACAGUUAUUAUGCAGACUUUGUCCUCUGCUUUUCCAGAACAGUGUUCGUCUAAAUAUCCAUUGUAGCUGAGUGCUUCCACAGACAUCCUUUUGGCAGCAGUUAAGGAAGGGGGAGCAUGGUCAAGAAUCUGUUUCCAAUAUUUACUAUGGAAGAGAGAAGGAAAAAAUGUGCAUUUGGGUUCAGACUGUUUUUCUUUUUUUUUUAUCAAAACAGAAGCAUUUGUUGCAGACUUAUGUCUGGAGAAUAAGGACAGUGGAUGCAUACGCAAAUGUUGAAAAAAAAAGUAACUCAUCAGGGAAUAGCGUACAGAAUGUAUAUAGUGGGGUUUCUUAAACCAUAUUUACCUUAGAGGCAAAAUGCUAAAUGCAUACAGAUGUGGACAGUAACCUUUAUGAGAACAGGUGGUGUCUUUCUUGAAUUCUUUGUAAAAGGUAAUCCUUUUUUUUUGGGAGACUCAAACAUGACCCUUGUUCACCCUUACUGUAUUCCACUUGGUUGUCAACAGAGAUAAAUACCUGGCUAGGUAUGUCUUGGCAGUAAAUCAUUGACAGUUAUUAACCCAUUCUCACGUUGAGUGUGAGACUCGUACUGUCGUACAUUUUGCCUGUAGUUUGUGAAAUUCUUCUGUAGCCUGUGUAAGGUUUCAAGCUCAGACUUGUGUUUUUCUAAAUGAACUCAUUCCAUUGCAGAUUUUACCAGUGCUAAAGAUGUCUGCUGGUAGUACUUUCAAAAGAACACUCCAUUGUGGAUUUGACAACUUUUUUUUUAAAUACAUUAUAUGAAUAAAGAGUUAAAAAAUAUUUCUAAAGAAAAUGUAUUUACCGAUUAGUGUAUUUUAGUUUCCCCCCCAGCUUUAGAACUACUACCUCUUAUAUAGUUACAUAGUUGCAAAGCUGAAAAGAGACAUGCGUCCAUGCCCAUUUAUGGUAAGCAGAGGCUGCACCACCAGACCCUGGGAACCCCUUGUUUUCAGUUAAACUGCUCAAUGUCACCAAUAAUCACAUUCUCAGCAGGAAGUUGUUAUGGUGCCUCGGUGGCUAUUUUAAGAGAUUAUAUCUACUGGGAUUCCUUGUAUUGGAAGUUAUAGUAUGUGUAUAGGAAUACAUCCUCAUUCUCAGCAUUAGCAGCUAUUGUAAAAUACCAACAGACAGUAACCCACCGGUGUUUGUUAAAUGCUCAUUUUGGUCUGCAAUUGCAAAUACGAGUUGCUUUGUGCUCAGCAAGCCAUUUCAGUUUUAAACGAACUGUUAGCUUUACAAACAAAAAUACAUUUCUUCUGGACCCAUGACAAUUUCCAUUUCACAGUUUUCUUAGUCCUUUGGUCAACCACUAAUUACUUUAGUAAGGAACUUCACAAAAAAAUUCAAGCUGAUGCUUUUUUUCAUCAUUGUUUUUAGUUACACAUUGCUAGACAGCAGUUAGAGCUCUAGUUAUAGUAGGGUGGAAUUUGGAACUUUUGACAAAGUUGGAAAUCAAAGGCAACAAUAGUUCUGUAAAGAGGGUCUUUAUAAUUCAGCACUUAAUGAAACAUUUGAGAGUCUGAACUUUGGGAGACUGGUCUCUGGAUUUAUUAAAUAAACAGAAAACUAAAUUACAAAACUAUAUUUAAAAGAUCCAUAGUUAAUACUCCCAAAGGUGUUGGACUGUACAAUGUCUGGGCAUCAGUCAAUUAUUAUGCAUUCUUAAAAAACAGUUAAAUCAAAUAAAAGUGUGGCCCUUUGAAAACAUAUGGGGUGUAUAACUAAAUCUGAAGUUAUGAAAAUAAAGUGGACCGUAAACCUUGUCCGACAAGCUUAUUAAUCCAAGGAAGUGAAGACAUUCAUGAACAUUGGGAUAUGCAAUUAUCAAGUGUCAGGAAGAGUUCUGUUGAAGGAUAUGAUGCUCAUUGUAUUUGGCUAGUAAAAAUUAAAUGGAGCUAUAAUUUUGUAUUGUGAGACAAAUAUAAACAGUAUUUUAAAAUCAAUAUCCAUGGCAGCAAAAUGUCCUAUAUUAGAAAGCCAAUGGUAGAGCCAAUAACUUGUAACGAGUAUUAUAAGCCAAAUAAAGAUGCAGAUGACCGUUGCAGCAAGGGAUCAAUAACGUGAACUAAACAGUUUACAUCAGUCAAGAACACAUGCAAUCUGAAGGGUACUGUUAGUACUUUAAAGUGGUAUGGUUGGAAGGCUGCAGGUAACAAUGCGUGGGACAAGGUUUUCUCAGAACAGAAUAAUAUAUCUUGGGAAAGAGUGGAAAGAUCUUGGCAAUUAAGGCUUUAAGUCCUCUGUGUUUGCAAUGGCUUUUGCGGUAUACCCAGUACUUAGGACCACAAAGGAAUUCAGGAUACAUUUUUUUACUAGAUUUGUCCAAGGGGCUGGGGAAGAGGUUGGUUUCUUGGAUCUUGAUCCAAGGUGGGAGAUUUUAAAGUAUCACAGUUAGGUAUAAACUUGUUAAUCUUCCCUCACAGUCUGGUUGUAGUAUUUGACAUCAGUUCUUGUAUUGGAAAGGAGGCUAUUUUAGGUAACCUUGUUUCUUUGGACUACAGAAUAAUGACAUUUAAAAUAAAAACAGCUGUUUGAGACCUAGUCAAGGUGCUUCUGGGCGGUGGGAUGACUAGAUCUUUACACAAAUACACACGGAACCGCAACACAUGUCUAAACCACAACCUAAUCAAUUGGCCAGCAAAGAAAUUGCCUGGCUGCAGCUGGCUAGAAUAUUGAAUUUUGUUACCAAAUGCUCCGGUUUGCAUGAAGGCAGGUGCUGAUAAAUACUGGGAAUGUAAAAUGUAUGAUGUUAUAUGGUAAAAUUGCAGUGGUUUGGUGUGUUGAUAUUCUUUAUGUAACUGCUUUAUAAGUCUCCUUCCAAUAGUCACCUCACUAUUUUUACUACACUGUAUUAAUUUCACUAUAUUUUAGCUGAAGAGUUUGGCUUGAGCCCAUGGAACAAAUCUUGUGGAUAGGGUCACUGGAAAAAAAAGUACAGUAGAGUAAAAAUGGAUUUUCUGCAAAUGAAAAAGCUUUGGAUGUGACAGAAUUCAAAAUUCAAUACUUGCCUUAAGUUAAAAUACAGUGUAUCUCACAUGGGAGCACAUGGCCACAAUUGCCAUGUAUGUAUAUCACGCACAUCAUAGUGGACAAUUUUGUAUUUUUUGUAUGUUGUAGCGUUGUAGAUCGCUGUUGUCUGGAUGCAGAGAUCUUCACAUUUCUGAAUUGCAAUAAACAGCAGAUCAAAGGGGGGCAUUUACACAGAAGGGUGCACAUAAACCCAUUCCACCAAGCAUAUAAUAAAUGUGAAGGUAAUACUAAAAACCCAGUACAACCCUUCAAAUUCCAAGCUUGUUCUUUAUUGAGUGGUCACAGCAAAACAGGCAACAUUUCAGACAAUCAAGUUCUUUAUGAAGAUUUGAUUUUGGACUUAACUGGCCAAGACGUAAUCUGUUUAAGGACUUAUUGUCAGAGAUGUUACUUGUUUUGUUAUGUACGCCCUGUAAAAGAGUCCCUUGUAACUUUUAAAGUAAACAUUAAGUAAUUAGUUAAUUAAUUAAUUAAAAGGAUGCAAACAGAGCGGAGUGCAGAAAUAUGAAAACUUUAGAAUUUCACCAAUUAGUCAAGUGGUGGAAUACCCAAUAGUCAUUGCACUUUUGGAGGAACUGUCCCGAUUUUUGGGGUUUUGUCCCGCUAUCAUGAUAUAGUUUCUUGGUAACCCACAUCCAUUAAAGGUGCUUGUGCUGUGCAGCAGGCACUAGGACCAUGCAGAGAACACUUCAGCAGCAUUAUCUAAAUCAGGCAUAGGCAACCUUCGGCACUGCAGAUGUUUUGGACUACACCUCCCAUGAUGCUUUGCCAGCAUUAUGUUUGUAAGAGCAUUAUGGGGGAUGUAGUCCACAACAUGUGGAGUGCCGAAGGUUGCCUAUCCCUGAUCUAAAGGGUCCUGCAAGUAGGUGGCUGACCAGGAUGACUGUCGGUUAGCCUGACGUGCUUGACGCCAGCCCCUUCAGUAGGCAGGGAUACCCACAUCUUGGGUGGGCAUGCCCAUUGUGUUUGUUGCCAAUGACGCAAGUUACAUCACUGGUGACGCCCCCUCCCCCCCAUAGAAGGCCCACCUUUACAUAUCUCCCAAUGCUGGUAGGUAAACUCAUUCAUUUAGAACCUUCCGUAUUCAUGCAUUGUGUCUGUUGCAUGUAUACAGUAUAAACGUGUACCUUUUGUAAUGCAGACUGACAACCUCAAAACAAAUCUUAAUUAAAACUUUGAAAGUAAACCAUUAUGGAUAAACUGCCUAGGGAAAUUGCUCUAAACCAGCAUUAUGGAUGAUUCUGACCCCAAGGCAACAAAUAUAGCUAACCAGUCCAAUAAACGGAAAUUGGGAUAGUCCAAUAGGCAGAAAUGUCCUCUUCCACUAAUUCUCUGGAAGUCUGGACCAUGCAGACAAGAUGGAGCUGCUUCUUUGCUGGAUUUAGACACAUGAUAGCAGAUAUUUUACCAACCAGUUUCAUCAUAAAUUUGUGUGGGCCAAUUCUACUAAGAUUUGAGUUAAGCUUUCAAGGUAACUUCUGGUGUUUGGGUCCUAAAAAGUAUUUUUUUUGCCCAUUAUUUAAUCCUUAGAUAUCUGGUUUGUCUUUUUAAUUUGAAAGUUUAUGUCAAAAUCUAGCAGUGAGUUCUUCAUACCUUCCUCCAUUUUACUAGCUAGGCACACAUUCUUUUUUUGUUUUACUUUUUCUUUUACCGUAGUGUCAAACAUAUUGAUGAGAUUAGGUUUUUUCUUAGGCACCAUAAAGUGCUGCAUAAGUCCAAACCAGAGCAUUUUUGUUCAGUGCAGGAAUUCAUUAUCUGAACUCUUCACAUGGGCAGCCCUGGUAUUAUUACUGAUUCCUCCCCUUUCCAGCUGGUGCACCUCUCCAGUGACUUGGAAUUAUUCUUUGGGUAUUUAGCCAAACUUUAUUGGCCAUUCUUCUAGUUCUUAGAUAAAAAUCAUAAAAUAACAUCAUUAGGGACUAGAAGCACUUUUUUUUAUCUGAUCAGUGAUGCCAGCAAUCUACUGCAGAGACUGUGGCAAUUAACGUGGCUGUAGAAAAUAAAAUACAUAAAGGAAGUAAGUUAAUUGGAACCUGGAGACUUUUCAAACCAAGGAUGAACGUUGCAGUUGCUGGCAGAUAAGCAAGCUACUGUCGUGAGACUGCAUACAAAAAGGCUGCAGGCAACAUUAAAAGGUUAUGAUGACAUGUAGCCAAUGGGAGGAGAGCGGAAGCCAGGUCAUCUGUAAAAUGCUUUGAGAAUCUCUCAUUCACUGUAUAGUUGCACAAAGGGACUAGUCUAGCAGAAUGAGUGUGAAUGGAUUACUAUGGCUUUUUGGGAUCUUGCCUAGUAUACAUCUCUGGAAACUAUAAAUAUGCUAUUUCUCACAUUGCCUGCAUUGUGUCUGUCAGUCUCCAUAUGUAUUCCUCCAGGGCCCCUCUACAGUAUAAACUUCUGCAAAGUCCACCCUCCCUAAAAAGUAAGCUAGCAAGUGUUCUGUACCCAGGGCAGAUCCUGGUGAAAUGUGCUGUACAGAACUGACAAUUGAAUUACAACCUAAGAAGGUUACAGUUCUAACUGUUUAAAACUGGCAGCCACUUUAAUUCUGCCACAUCACAUUGAACUUUAAUACAAUAUGAAAACUCCCAUCACUGUCAGUCAUACCAUACCAUACCAACUUGUUUACCUGGCACUGUAGCUCCCCCCUCCGUCAAGGAUUUCCCCAUAGGAAAGCAUUAUUCAAUGCUUUCCUAAGGGGUUUUAGGUGACGCUCGACAUCCCCAUGCAUAGCAUGAGGAUGUCCAGCGUCAGUAAACUGAAGAAGUCGCCUAACCGCCUGGAAGUUCCUCUAGUGGCUUUCUGGUAGACACCGACUAGAGGUAGAGUUAACCUUAGCAGGUGAUAAUUGCAGUUUGUUAAAAACGGCAUUAAUUACCUGCUCAGGGUUAAGGGACCUGGGACAGUGCACCCAGACCGCUGAAGUAAUUUGGGUGCCUAUAGUAUUCCUUUAAAAUAAUCCCCUCUAACAAUCUCACAUAUCUCAGCCAGUGCCGGGACAGUCCUGCAAUUAUAAUAAAGACCUAGUGUUAACUACCCUAACACACUACACAGCAAAUUAAUUCCUACACUAUCACUAAAGAUUAGCUCCAACAAUACCUAAAAGUACCCUUGCCAUUAACUCUGACCUCCCAACCAUCCUGAUUCCAGCAGGACAGUUACGUCCCGGCUUAGUCCCCUAGAGUGCCGUUUUUGGGACACCAGGGAACUGGGAACUGUCUCCAACAAGCAUAGCGUAAAUGUAUCAUUAGACGCGCACGCACUUUGCUGAAGGUAUUAGGAUCCUGCAGAGAGUACUGAAACAGUGCUUACUUCUGCCCUCAGUGAUGUAUGAUGGAGAGGUAGCCUGAUGAUCUCCCAAUUCCUUUCUGUGCGGGUCUGCACUAUUAAGUUGCACCAGUGAUGUGAUCAUGUCACUGUCCGGCCCCCUUUCUCCCCCCUCCUACCGAUUCACAGGAUGCAGGAGUUGUGAGGUAUGCAUUACCUCCUAUACUAUAGUGUUGACUCCUCCACAUGACUCUUGUCAUACAAUCUAUAGCUAUUUCGACAUAUAACAAUGCACUUUUCACCUAACAAUUGCUUAUAAUGCAGAUUAUAUCACCAAGCUCUCAGCACCACCUAUGGAGCACAUGCUUGGAAUAGGAAUGAUGCCUUUACAGCACAAAACCAGAAUUAGGCAAAAAAAAAAAAAAAAGUCAACAAAUUUUACUCCAUUUACAACUACAGAUUAAGCAUGCUGUAUGUUAGUGGUGUUUUAAUGCCUUUAAUCAGUUAAUCCCUUCACUAUUGAGCACUUUUUGAUUGAAACAUUUUAGCAUACCAUUUAUAUGAAGCAAGGGAAGCAUAGUUAGCAUAUAAGCAUACAAUAUCUUAAGACAGCAAUUUUGUGCAUAGAUUGCUUAGCAGAGAAGCUUAAAAAUUAAAUGUAUGUAAAAUUACACAAUUUUAUUUUCACUUAUUUGUUCAUCUUUUAUAAAAAAAAAUCAUUGGGAAAUUAAAUGUUGUAAAAUUUCUCACAGUGUUUAAAAUGUCAGCAUAGAAGCAAAAAUGCUAUUUUUCUCAUACACCGUAGAUUUGAUUAAAAAAUAGAUAACUAAAAGUGGUCAAAACAUUGCUUAUAGGUAUUUGCAAGGGCCAUGAAGACAUUACUAGCAGUGCAGUUUACCAAAAAUAGCAACAGAAUGUAAAACGAAUGUCAACAUUUAAACAUAAUGCCUGCAAACAGUUAAUACAGUUAGCUUAUGUAUUUCUAAAAUAAAGCUAUCAAUCUCUGGAACAUUAAUGUAAUACUGACAGUGAAAUGGUAGAGUCCGUUCACUUCUCCCUCCCCCAUGACUGUAGGACUGAAAUGACCCAUUAAAAUUCCAUGUACCAUUUGAAAGCAUUUUACAGCAAAUUUACAGACAUUAUAUUUGGGUCUAUUGGCUUCUGUUGGAUAAUUUUUUUUCAACAAGCUAGUAGUCAUAAAUAUAAUAAAAAAGAUGGUGAAUAAGAAUUUAUGACCUAGAUUUCAUACUGCAAAUACCUGAAAAUAAAAACAUUUGUGCUCAGUUUGGAUAUUGAUGGGGGUUAAAGGGCACUUCACGCAUGCGCAAUUAGAUUUUUUUGGAUUACAUUUUUAAAAUGUGGGACAGAGUCCCAAAUUAAAUAUAUAGUGGAACAGAAAGCCAAAAACUAUAACUGUUCCCUGAAAAUAAAAAAAAAUGAAAUAAAUAUUAGCUGAGUCAACCACAUUAAAUAACUUGUGCACAGUCCACUCUUUACUAACUUGCAUGGAUCUUUGGCUGCCCCAUUGGUAAGGCACUUUCUUGUUCCUUGGGACACAGGUAACAGGGUGAAGACAAUGUCUCCACAACAAAGUAGACCUGGACAAGUCAUAAUAAAAGGCUAGAGAACAAUGUUCAAACUCCACUAUAGGGGAAUCUUGCCAAGACUGCCAUCUUGUCGAGAUGAGUGACAAAUUGAAGGUCCUCAGAGGUAAUGGUAGGGGCAAUGGUUGGUCUAGGUAGAAUGUAGAAGCCAUCAAGGAGAACUCUUUUAGUUAUUUUGGGAGGCAAGAGGUGGGGAAAAAGGCAAACAAAGUGUUUGAUCUCUGCAGUCUCUAUAGACUCAGGGAUUGCUGUAUUUUGAUGUUUCUACUGUAUUGUUCAGCAAUUUUAGAGCCAUGUAAGCUUGAUUGUGAGUUAGAUGGUCAUGUGUGGAGGUGAAAGAGGCAUGUUGGACCUCAAUAUUCAAUAAAUCAUAAUUUUCUUCUUCCCGAGAGGUUAUGUGGAAUGUAUACUUAAUCGUGGGGACAUUUUAGAGAUUUAGACAAAAAAUCAACAAAUUAGUUACAAAAUACACCCUUUCAAGUGAUUUUUGCAAUUCUAACAGUAAAGAUCGUAAAUUACAAAAUGAAGAAAAACUAGGCUGACAAUGCCUUAUAGCCUCUCUGAGUGUGUAAAAAUCAUCACUUCAUCUUACCACACUCCCAUACAGGCCAGUAUUUCGCAGAGCUUUAUAAAUGGUUAUUGGUCCCCCCUGUAACUUUUCCUACCAGUCGUCUUCAUCUCUGAGAGCUGCGUUUCGGAUAAUGGUCUUUUGUAGACAGGGCCUGAGUGGUGAAAUUCAGCAUCUGCUUCUAGACUGAUUGAUCUAAUGAUUUUCUUUUGUUUCUACAGUUUUUAGGAUGAUUUUUGUGAUUGUGUAUCAGAUCUUCUGGUAAAAUCAGUGGAUUUUUAGCAAUGGGGAUUUAUCCUGGAAAUGUGCCAGCAGCCUUCACAGUUUACAGGUGGAGGGUAAUGAAGGGCUAAUUAUGGCCUUCGUAAGAAAGUUUUUCAUUUGUGUGACCACAAAGCUUCCGUAGCAUGUAUGAUAAUUAUGUUUUAUGGAAUGUCUUUUUUCUUAAUUAUAUUUGUCAACAUAAACCUAGUAUCAUUGUAAGUGAACAGAUUCAUCCUAUCAUAUGAAAAUCGCAGUAAAUAGCAACUGUAUGUCAAACAGCAGAUACAAUGACAACAUUUCAUCAAAACAAAGAAAGAGGAGAAGAUGUGGCAAGAGCGAGUUUAGAGGAGGGGGCCCAGUAAGUUGUGGACUGCCGAAGUCAAAAUGACUGAGGGGACAUGAAAGGGUGUAUCAAGGUGCAUGAAGAUCCAGGGAUCCCAUAUUUUUGACAAAUGCUCAUUGGGAGUUUGACUGUGAUUUUUUCCAACUUUUGUUUUGUAAAUGCUGAGAGGCCAGCACUUUUGGAGUACACAUGUGGGGUGCUGUACAGAUAUGGUGAAUAAUUUAAGAAAAGAGGGUAGCGAUAGAAACUCCUUGAGGAACAAUUUGAGUGUGAGCCAAAAGUCAAGCUCAAUAAAUACAUACUUCCAGGAUCUUAUAAUUCUCAUGUUUGUACUUAUGAAACGGUUAGUCUACCAGACAUACCCAUUGGUUACUAGCUGCUCACACCCUGAUUAUACCAGUCCACUGCAUAUUUUAUGUACUUAUAGUACAUGAUCGCUGUUUUACACUUUCUAUUCAUAGAGUGCAGUAAUUUAAAAAAAGCAUAUCCCACACCCAAUAUAGAGGUAUAAAUCAUUGUGUGUUAUUUAUUUAUUUUUGUCAUACUGUGCGCUUUUCAUGGCUAUCUUUCUUUUUUCCACUUUUCUUUGGGGGUGGGGGGGUGGGUGGGAGGGAAUAGAAAAUUAAUUAUAUAGUCUUUCCUUUCCAACUAAUUCAAACUGAGCUGUCUGACUUUGACACAUUAUUUAGGUUAGCCUUUUAUGUUUAGUCUUUUGUGUGUUUAUUUAGGCUAUGGAGAACAACACUACUAUAAUUGAAUUACUCCACAUUUUGUAACUUAACUUGUGAAUGUGAGAUGAUUGUCAGAAAGCCUCAAUGUAUUUUUGAAACUAGUUCUUAUCCCACUGUGUAUGAAAGGUAUGUGAAUCCCAAGAAUUUACGAGAUACACCAGUAUCACCAUUUUCAUUUUCUUUCUUGCAGGUACAAAAGUGGCCCACGCUUAUCUUUCCAGUCUAAAGCUUGACAUCUACAUUAGGGAUUAUUUUGCUUUGCCUUCUAAAUAUUCUUUAUUUCUGUCUGCUUAGAGAAAAUGAAAGUGGACAAUCGGGAAAGGACAAAGUUCAAGAGAAGAUCAUAUGUUAAAAAAUAGAAUUCUAUAAAAAAUAAAAACACAAAUAUAGAAAAACAAGCAAUAAAUACCCCACUG